AUGCACAGGGUUGCAUUCAAUGCCCAGGCUGACUUGAAGAAUGUUGUCGCCUCCGAAAAUGCUUCAAAAUCCAUGUUAACGGAAUAUUUUAAGGCUAAUCAGGAACACCCUCGGUCUAGACAUAUAUUGUACAAGGAUUUUCCCGGAAGCUUCACGUGGCAGAAGAAAAAGAAGUAUUGGAAGCCGCGGGUCGAGCGUUUUCAAAUUGGGCGCAUAGUAUCUGCCAAUCCUGCCGAGGGGGAGCGAUACUACCUGCGUGUGUUGCUUAACCAUGUGGCUGGCAAAACAUCCUUCGACGACUUGCUCACCGUGGACGGCGUGCUAUGUGGGAGCUUUAGAGAGGCUGCUGAAAGGUUGGGACUGAUCGAGGCAGACAACACGCUCGACGAAUGUCUUAAUGAGGCUGAGCAGUGGGCAAUGCCAUGCUCACUUAGGAGGCUCUUCGCAACCAUUUUGGUGCACUGCGAGCCAGGCGAUGUGCGUGGUCUUUGGGAUCGGCACUUCGAGCCGAUGUCGGAUGACUAUCGUCGAUCACGCAUGUGCCCUGACGAGGUGGAGCAGAUGGUGUUGCUUGACAUUAGGGGGAUGUUGCAGUCCAUGGGUAAAGACAUUGUUGAUUUCGCUCUUCCAAGCAUAGAUGGUGCGUUCGACCCUACAGAGGGCGAGGCGAGAGAGGUAAUCGAGGAAUCAACCGUUGAGUUUGACAUGGAUGACACGAAAUUGGCAGAUUCACUGAACAUGGAGCAGAGGGCCGCAUACGAGGAGAUACUAGGGGCUGUUGGACGCGGUGAUGGGGGUGUAUUCUUUGUUGAUGGCCCUGGAGGUACAGGUAAGACCUUCCUAUAUAGAGCGAUGCUUGCCAAGGUGAGGAGCCAGGGCAAGAUUGGUAUCGCUACCGCAACGUCCGGCGUCGCCGCUUCUAUCAUGCCUGGGGGCAGGACUGCCCACUCGAGGUUCAAGAUCCCAUUGAGUUGCGAUGAUGGAGGCUCGUGCAGCUUCACCAAGCAGAGUGGGACCGCCAAGCUACUACGGAUGGCCUCAUUGAUAAUAUGGGACGAGGCCAGCAUGACAAAGCGACAAGCGGUUGAGGCAUUGGAUAAUAGCAUGCGCGACAUCAUGGGAAUACGCGACCGACCCUUUGGAGGAAAGACUGUAGUUUUUGGCGGGGACUUUAGGCAGGUUCUGCCGGUCGUCAGAAGGGGGUCGCGGGGCCAGAUAAUUAAUGCAAGCCUCCGAAGUUCUCAUCUAUGGAAAGGUAUGCGGCAGCUACGGCUCAUCACCAACAUGAGGGCUCAUAAUGACACAUGGUUUGCCGAUUAUUUGCUAAGGGUCGGCAAUGGCACUGAGGAGGUCGACGAUCAAGGCAACAUAGUACUCCCAGAAGAUAUUUGUCUGCCGUCUACGGGCGAGGCUGACGACCUGGAGAAGCUUAUUGAGCACGUAUUUCCGAGUCUGGACAACAACAUGGCUGAUCCAAAUUACAUGACAUCUCGAGCAAUACUGUCCACAACAAACGACAACGUAGACAAGAUAAACAUCCGCAUGAUAGAGCAUUUUCAUGGAGACGAAGUAAUCUACCAUAGUUUUGACAGUGCGGAGGAUGACCCAUAUGGCUACUAUGCUCAGGAGUUUCUGAAUGGAUUGACCCCUAACGGUCUCCCUCCGCAUGCUCUCAAGCUAAAGCUGAAUUGCCCUGUCAUACUUCUAAGGAACAUUGAUCCAUCUAAUGGUUUGUGUAAUGGCACUAGGCUUGUUGUUAGAGGUUUUGAGAGGAACACCAUUGAUGCAGAAAUCGUCAUUGGACAACACGCUGGCAGGAGGGUCUUCCUUCCUCGAAUACCUCUCUGCCCAUCUGAAAAUGACAUGUUUCCGUUCAAGUUUAAGAGGAAGCAAUUUCCUAUAAGGCUUAGCUUUGCUAUGACCAUUAACAAGGCUCAAGGACAAACUAUCCCGAUUGUUGGUGUGUACCUACCCAAUCCCGUGUUCUCACAUGGUCAGCUCUAUGUUGCUUUGUCUCGAGCCACCGCGAAGAUAAACAUAAAGAUUCUCAUUCAGAAGGAGAAGCCGAAGGAGAAGACCAACCAGCAUAAGGACAAUACAAAGAAGCGAAAAAGAACGACCGUGUCCUUACUGACCUCGAUGAAGAACAUCGUCUACAGGAAGUCCUUACAGGUUGAUAACCGGUUAAUAGCAAUGCAGGUUUUGUAA
rnacentral:rRNA from 1 species